rnacentral:piRNA from 1 species
UCCGUCUGAGUACACCCCUGAUCACCCCC